CUUUAAUGUUACCUACAUUUCUGUGAAAAAUAUUUUUAGUACUUACCAGAAUUGUUUGCACUAUAAUGGAUUAUCUUUUUCCAUUUAAAAACACUAAAACAUUCUGUUUGUCUCAUUUGCAGUGCAAUUUGGAAAAUGCAGGAAGGAUAUUGCAACGUUCUCACAUGUGUCCUGUACUCAUUUUCCUGCAGAGUAUUGGAAAUCUGUUUCAAAAUCUGUUGCUUUGGCUGACCUUUGGGAAGGCUCCAUUGGUGUGUUCUGAAAUGAAAUACUCUAUUUGGUGAACUCACUCAAUUGCUCUUGAAAAUCAUUUGUCAGUGAAAGGAGUAAUGAGAAGAUAACAGCUAAUCCCUCAAAAGUUCAGCUGGAUUAAAAGCAAUUUGAAAUCUUUUUUGGAACUAAAAUAAAGUUAUUUGCAGAUGGAUUUCA
rnacentral:lncRNA from 1 species